UAACUUGGCUUUGGUUGCUGGCGUCUGAAGUCAGGUCAUAGAAGGUCAGAUCGUUUGUGUAUUUACAUCUGGAGUACAUGAAUUAAAUGAAUCAGGUUAGUGUCUUGUGUGAGCCUCGUUUUGUGGCGUUACAGGGCAUGAAAAUUAAAUGACAAGACUAUAAGCGUAGAUGUUGAUGUACCGGGUGGCUUGGACAGGGGUUCGACUCCCCUCGACUCCACCA
rnacentral:tmRNA from 1 species